rnacentral:rRNA from 1 species
AUUGAACGCUGGCGGCGUGCUUUACACAUGCAAGUCGAACGGUAACAGGCCUUCGGGUGCUGACGAGUGGCGAACGGGUGAGUAAUGCAUCGGAACGUGCCCAGAGGUGGGGGAUAACGGAGCGAAAGCUGUGCUAAUACCGCAUGUGAUCUGAGGAUGAAAGCGGGGGACCAGGCAGCAAUGUUUGGCCUCGCGCCUUUGGAGCGGCCGAUGUCAGAUUAGAUAGUUGGUGGGGUAAAGGCCUACCAAGCCGACGAUCUGUAGCUGGUCUGAGAGGACGACCAGCCACACUGGAACUGAGACACGGCCCAGACUCCUACGGGAGGCAGCAGUGGGGAAUAUUGGACAAUGGGCGCAAGCCUGAUCCAGCAAUGCCGCGUGCGGGAAGAAGGCCUUCGGGUUGUAAACCGCUUUUGUACGGAAAGAAAAGGCUCUGGCUAAUACCUGGGGCUGAUGACGGUACCGAAAGAAUAAGCACCGGCUAACUACGUG